UCAUCAUCUUGUUUCAUUGAUUGGAAGUGACCGAUUAUCGUAGUACCAGUACCUUGCCCAGUUUUAAGAGUUUUAAUGUGGAAAGAACAUGGCCUAUGAUCAUCAUGGAGCUCGGGUCCAGUGUCAGGAUGACCUGGUCUGAUAUGAUCCGAUCAGGUCGGGUCGGGGUAGGCCAGCCUUGUGCCUCCCCAUUUUUCUGUUUGUCGUACUAGAGGAAGUCAUUGGAUUCUCUACAUUUACUCAUGCCGUUCCUUGUUCACCGACGAAUCGGCCGGUGUGGAGCAGGCGCAGUGUUCCCGUUGCUUGAUCGCGGUAAAUGAAUUUCAUUGCUGGUUGCUUGCUACUCCCUUCGUCCCAAAAUUCUUGUCUUAGAUUUGUCUAAAUAUGAAUGUAUCUAGUCACGUUUUAGUACCACCUGCUCCAGCUUACAUCCGUGAUUAGCAUGCACACGGGAUCGAUGUGUGCUUCUUACGGACAAACCUACAUUACGAAAUUAUAGGAAGAAUAAGGAGGGAUUAAUUAAAUUGUUGAUUGUAUUGCUAAAUCUCCUGGACAUAUAGAUUUAACUCUGAUCAUAAAUCUCUACCUAAUAUAAUAAUAAAGGACCACACUACCGAGCAGCGCCGCAUCUGGGGCUUCCGGUGCGGCGCCCAGCUAAUGAAACAUUAGUACGCAUGCAAAAUUAGUACUCCGUAGAUGCAUACUCAUUACUUUAAACAGCUUGGACAUGCAGCGGCAAAUUCCCCUUUCUUUAUUAUGCAUGCAUGCAAUGACGUCGUCAAGAUAUCCUUCGAUAUUUGAAAUUCAAAAAAAUUUAUCUACAAAACCUUAAUUCAAUUAAUGAUCCGCU
rnacentral:lncRNA from 1 species